rnacentral:tRNA from 1 species
GAGGCUGUAGAAAAUGAAUUCAGGAAUAUCCUAUAUACAGCAAACAUACCAAAACCAUCAACCAAUUAAAAUUAUUUAAAUGCGGGUUCAACUCCCGCCAGCUCCACCA